rnacentral:rRNA from 1 species
CAGUAGCCGCGGUAACACGAAGGGUGCAAGCGUUACUCGGAAUUACCGGGCGUAAAGCGUGCGUAGGUGGUGGUUUAAGUCCGUUGUGAAAGCCCUGGGCUCAACCUGGGAAUUGCAGUGGAUACUGGGUCACUAGAGUGUGGUAGAGGAUAGUGGAAUUUCCGGUGUAGCAGUGAAAUGCGUAGAGAUCGGAAGGAACAUCUGUGGCGAAGGCGACUAUCUGGGCCAACACUGACACUGAGGCACGAAAGCGUGGGGAGCAAACAGGAUUAGAUACCCCGGUAGUCCCUGUCUCUUAUAC